GAUGAACGCUGGCGGCGAGCCUAAUACAUGCAAGUCGAGCGAACAGACGAGGAGCUUGCUCCUCUGACGUUAGCGGCGGACGGGUGAGUAACACGUGGAUAACCUACCUAUAAGACUGGGAUAACUUCGGGAAACCGGAGCUAAUACCGGAUAAUAUAUUGAACCGCAUGGUUCAAUAGUGAAAGACGGUUUUGCUGUCACUUAUAGAUGGAUCCGCGCCGCAUUAGCUAGUUGGUAAGGUAACGGCUUACCAAGGCAACGAUGCGUAGCCGACCUGAGAGGGUGAUCGGCCACACUGGAACUGAGACACGGUCCAGACUCCUACGGGAGGCAGCAGUAGGGAAUCUUCCGCAAUGGGCGAAAGCCUGACGGAGCAACGCCGCGUGAGUGAUGAAGGUCUUCGGAUCGUAAAACUCUGUUAUUAGGGAAGAACAAAUGUGUAAGUAACUAUGCACGUCUUGACGGUACCUAAUCAGAAAGCCACGGCUAACUACGUG
rnacentral:rRNA from 1 species